CUUAAAAUUUUGCUGUUUUUAAUACCAUUAACCUGUCUAAAUUAUUAACUGAGUUUAGGGCACGUCAAUUUGGACAUUUUGAGAAGAAAUAUGUUAGGAUUCAAGCUAAAAAGGAAUUGAAUGAAGUAGAUCCUUAAUUGAAUAAGAAUUGUGGAAAAUUACAUAAACGGAAUUGAUACUAGACCCCUUUUCUCACUCACCAAUUGCCUGCUUUCUCCCCUAACCUCUACCUCUAUUUACAGCUGAUUUCCUACUCGUUUUUCCCCCAGAACAUGCUUCCCAGCAGAUUCUAUUUUCCCUCCUUUUUUGAUUCUUCUAGAAUAUGUGAAGUGUAUCGGUGGCUUAUCAGUACUCCCGGGCUUCCAAGACACCUUGUCCUCAAGGUGAAAACUUGGAAUUGUUUAAGGAUAGAUUCUGUUGACUCCCAGGUUGCCUCGGUAAUAGGUAGGUCCUUCCAUUUUAUUAGUACCUCUCCACCUGGGCGUUCUCCCAAGACUUGAUCAGGCUCCACAAUCCAUUCAAGGUUUGAAUCGAGAUGAGAUGGAAAUAGUUUAUUUGCCUCAGUAGCACCUACUGCCUUCUUCAGCUGCGAUACAUGGAAGACGGUGUAUUGUAGUUUCAAGAGGCAAUUUUAGACGAUAUGCAACUGGCCCUAUACGUUUUUCUACCUCAAACGGACCAAAAUACUUAGGCCCUAACUUUUCAUUCUCCUUCUUGGCCAAUGAACAUAGGCGGUAGGGUUGUAAUUUGAUAUAAACCAAGUCCACGGUCACAAACUGGACAUCUCUUCUGUGCUUAUCUGCCUCUCUUUUCAUCCUUUCUUGAGCACGGAGAAGAUGAGAUUUUAACUCUUCUAGCAUAAGGUUAUGGUCUUUCAAUUGUUGUUCCACCAUUGCUACCAUUGUGACCUGAUUGCCAAGGCGAAUUAACGGAGGGAGGUCUCGUCCAUACACUGCCCAGAAGGGAGUUGUGUUCGUUGAAGAGUGAAAUGUUGUAUUAUACCAAUACUCAGCCCAUGGGAGCCAUGAGUACCAUGUCCAGGGCUGAUCAUAAGUGAAGCAACGAAGAUAAGUUUCCAAACACCUAUUGAUUACUUCGGUCUGCCCAUCGGUUUGAGAGUGAUAGGCUAUGCUUCGGCAAAGGAAGGUCCCUUGCAACCGAAAGUGCUCUGUCCAAAAAUGGCUUAAGAACAACUUAUCCCUAUCUUAGAUAAUAGAAUUGGGAAUGUCGUGGAGACGUACAACUUCAUUAACGAAAAUUGUCGUGACCCCAGCUGCUGUAAACGGGUGUUUAAGUGGGCACAAAAUGCGCGUACUUAAACGAUCCACCACGACUAAGAUUGCAUUGUACCUUCUUGAUCUCGGCAGUCCUUACACAAAAUCCAUUGAAAUGUCAUCCCAAAUGAGAUGGGGAAUCAGUAGAGGCUGCAGUAACCCGGCUAGAGAUAGAGCAUUAUCUUGUUUUGCUGACACACUGGACAUUCUGCUACAAACUUCUUGAUAUCUGCCUUCAUCCCUGUCCAAUAUAAGUCUCCAGUCAGUCGUUUGUAGGUGCGAAGGAACCCGGAAUGGCUUCCCAAUGUUCUACUAUUGAAUUCAUGUAGCAGAGAAGGAAUUAAAGUUGAAGUGCGAGAGAUCAUCGUCGCCCUUUGUAUAGCAACUUUCCCUAUAGGAUUGAGUACCGCGGGUGUGCAUCUGGGUCGUCCUGCAUUUCUUUCCUGAUUUUAGACAACACUGGAUCAUUUUUACUUCAGUCUCAAUUAAUUGUGCCUCCAAUAGUUUUGAGAAGGUGAGUGUCCUCGGUUUCAUAGGAGUGGGAAUGCGUGAUAAUGCAUCAGCUGCCUUAUUUUCCAAUCCUAGUCGAUAUUAAAUCUCAAAGUCAAAUCCCAACAGCUUGGUUACCCAGCAUUGGAAGUCCCUUGGGAUCAUUCUUUGUUCCAGGAGGUAUUUGAGGCUGUGCUGGUCGGUGCGAACAACAAAUUUCCUACCCAACACAUAAUGUCUCCAUUUUUGAAUUGCUAACACGACGGCCAUCAACUCUCUCUCGUAGAUGGACUUGUGUCGAGAUUUUGCUGAAAGUACUUGGUUGAAGAAUGCAACAGGCUGUUGGUCUUGCAUGAGGAUUGCCUCUACCCCCACAACUCGAAGCAUCGGUCUCUAUAAUGAAGGAUUUCGAGAAAUUAGGGAAGGCUAAAACUAGAACAGUAGUCAUAGCCUGCUUUAACCGCCCAAACGCCUCAUCUGCUUCUACAAUCCAGCCAAAUGAAUCUUUCUUCGACUGUUGGGUAAGUGGCCAAGAUAUGGUGCCAUAUCCUUCUACAAAUCUCCUGUAAUAGCCUGUUAGCCCCAAGAAACCUCGAAGUUUUUGCAGAUUUUGAGGAGUUGGCCAGUGAACCAUGGUCGUGAUUUUGCUUGGGGUCUGCUGCCACCCCCUCUGUUGAAACCAAGUGACCCAAGUAUGCUAUCUGUGGUUGAGCGAAGAGGCAUUUCUUUCUAUUUGCACUCAACUUAUGCCUUUUUAAAACGACAAACACCACCUCUAGAUGAUGCUUGUGGGACGCCACAUCUUUACUGUACACCGAAAUGUCAUCAAAGAAAACCAAAUUGAACUUCCUCAAAUAAUUUCUGAAUACCUAGUUCAUCAAUGACUGAAAUGUUGUUGGGGCAUUGGUGAGGCCGAAUGGCAUUACAAGGAAUUCGUAGUGUCCCUUGUGAGUCUUGAAAGGGAAUUCAAGAAAUUGGCAGUGGAACUAAAUCAACUUUGAUUGUCAUCUAGAAUUUCCUUGAAAGCCAUGAUGAAAACUCUACAGAACGAGGUAAGGAGGCGAUGGACAGGAGGAAAGGGAAUUCCCUUACCUCGUUCUGUAGUGUUUUCAUCAUGGCUUUCAAGGAAAUUCUUGAUUUAUUUAGCCCUUUAUCAACUUUGAGUGUCAUCCAACCAUCCCCCAAUUGGAAUUUCAUGGUCAACAACUUCCAGUUGACCUCUAUGCUCCUUGACGUGCCUAACCAUUUCAUGCCCAGUACCACAUUUGUGCUGCCUAAGUCCAGUGGCAAAAAGUCUUCGAUGAUUGUCAACCCUUGUAAUUCCAAUACUACUCCUUUGCACAUCCCUUUUCCCGUCAAUGACUCGCUCGUUCCCAUUACAACAUCAUAAUUUUUGGUAGCUGUGGUUGGCAGCCCUAUUUUACGAACUACUUCCAAAGAGAUAAAUUUGUGGGUUGCCCCACAAUCGAUCAACACCAUCACCUUUCGUGAUCUGAUUUUGCCCCUUAAUUUCAUGGUGCCUGGCGGGUCAGCCCUAUCACAGAGUUGAGCGAUAAUUCUACCGUCUCUGUUACCUCGAGCGAUAGUUCCCCCACCGAAUUUUCGUAGUCAGUCGCCCCUUCUCUUCGCAGUCCUGCACCAACAAUACACGCAACUCCCGAUUUUUGCACCUGUGACCAAUCGUGUAUUUUUCCUCACAACGAAAGCAUAGACCCUUCUCUCGCUUCGACCUCCACUCUACGUCAGUCAUGCGUUUUAUGGGUGUUUCUCUCUUAUUAUUGGUAAGUCGGUUCUCCACCGUCACUGCCUUGGUGGAGAACGUUCUUGCCUUGAUUGAAUUUGGGACGAAUUUGUGAAUUUUCUGGGCUGAUGCUUAGCACCAAAUUUUGAUCCUCCACCUUUUGGGCUGCCUCCAUUAUCUGGCUCAAUCCUGUCGGGCACAAUAAGCAUAUUUCAGCCCAAAUUUUUGGUAGAAGCCCAUUCAUGAACGUGCUUUCAAGCACUUCAUCAGGGAGAUCUUUUAACGGUGCAGCCAAAACCUCAAAUGCUCUCCUAAAUUCUGCGACUAACCCUUCCUGCUUCACCGCAAAAAACUUCUCACAUAAACUGCCAUCCUGGGUUGGCCUGAAAUGCAUUAGGAGUUGUUUUCAAAAGUCCUGCUAGUUCUGGAAUGGCCUCCUUGCCUCCGUCCAUUGAAGCCACGAGAGAGUAUUGCCUUCCAAGCUUACACCAAUUACUCCUAUUCUCUCACGCUCCGUCAAUCCAUUGAUCUCAAAAUACCUUUGCGCACAGGAGAGCCACCCAUCUGAAUCUUCCCCACUAAAAAUGGGCGUUUCGAGCUUCCUCACUCGACGCCAACUGUCUCCUCCUCCUUCAUGGUCCGUGGCAAUUGAUAUUCUCCCCUAGCUAGCUUCCCCAAUGCCUUUUUGCCAUUCGCUACGUUCCAUCGUUCGUUGAUCGCCCACGGCAGUUGGAAGUAUGUUUGGAGGUACAUGCCCUCUGGUAAUACUCCCUAACCCAUCGCCUUUCGAUCUUCCCUUUGUCCCCGACUUUGGAUUUGAGAAGGCUGCUACUGCCCUUCUAGUUUCUUCCAAGGCUUGCAUCAUUUUGCCUACGUUCUGAGCCAAAUGUUCCAUUGUCCGUUCUAAGCCUGGUAGCCUUUGCAACUCGAUCUUAACUUCUUCCAACUCUUUCUCCAUGGAUUCUAUCCUGCCUUCUGUUUUUUUCUUUUUUUUUUUUUUUUUUUUUAGCCAUCAGGAUACACAUGCUCUGAUACCAAUUUGUUAGGAUUCAAGCUAAAAAGGAAUUGAAUAAAGUAGAUCUUUUAUUAAAUAAGAACUGUGGAAAAUUACAUAAACGGAAUUGAUACUAGACCCCUUUCCUCACUCACCAAUUUGAUGGUCAAGGCCUGGGUCUUCCGUGUGGAACGCUAUUUCACCAUCAACCGAAUGACGAAGGAGAAGGAGAGAAGCCGCGAUGGUCUUUUUGGAAGGAGAAGCUUUGGCCUGUAUCAAUGGGAAGAUCAACAGCGAGCCAUUUUGAAUUGGAAAGAGUUGAAACUCUGACUGCUGCAACGAUUUCGUUUGUCGCAGCAAGGGUCCCUCUACGCUCUGUUUCUGGCCCUUUGCCAGACUACCACCUUGAGGAGUAUCGUCAACAGUUUGAGAUCCUUGCGUCACUGUUACAAAACAUUUCGGAGGAGGAAAGUAAUUUUAUUAAUGGACUAAAGGCAAAUAUAAAGACAGAGGUCCAAUUGCUUAAGCUAGUGGGCCUAGAGCAAAUUAUGGAGGUGGCUUUCCAGGUUGAAGAGAGGAAUAACGUGA
rnacentral:lncRNA from 1 species